GAUGAACGCUGGCGGCGUGCCUAAUACAUGCAAGUCGAGCGAACGGACGAGAAGCUUGCUUCUCUGAUGUUAGCGGCGGACGGGUGAGUAACACGUGGAUAACCUACCUAUAAGACUGGGAUAACUUCGGGAAACCGGAGCUAAUACCGGAUGAUAUUUUGAACCGCAUGGUUCAAAAGUGAAAGACGGUCUUGCUGUCACUUAUAGAUGGAUCCGCGCUGCAUUAGCUAGUUGGUAAGGUAACGGCUUACCAAGGCAACGAUGCAUAGCCGACCUGAGAGGGUGAUCGGCCACACUGGAACUGAGACACGGUCCAGACUCCUACGGGAGGCAGCAGUAGGGAAUCUUCCGCAAUGGGCGAAAGCCUGACGGAGCAACGCCGCGUGAGUGAUGAAGGUCUUCGGAUCGUAAAACUCUGUUAUUAGGGAAGAACAUAUGUGUAAGUAACUGUGCACAUCUUGACGGUACCUAAUCAGAAAGCCACGGCUAACUACGUGUCAGCAGCCGCGGUAAUACGUAGGUGGCAAGCGUUAUCCGGAAUUAUUGGGCGUAAAGCGCGCGUAGGCGGUUUUUUAAGUCUGAUGUGAAAGCCCACGGCUCAACCGUGGAGGGUCAUUGGAAACUGGAAAACUUGAGUGCAGAAGAGGAAAGUGGAAUUCCAUGUGUAGCGGUGAAAUGCGCAGAGAUAUGGAGGAACACCAGUGGCGAAGGCGACUUUCUGGUCUGUAACUGACGCUGAUGUGCGAAAGCGUGGGGAUCAAACAGGAUUAGAUACCCUGGUAGUCCACGCCGUAAACGAUGAGUGCUAAGUGUUAGGGGGUUUCCGCCCCUUAGUGCUGCAGCUAACGCAUUAAGCACUCCGCCUGGGGAGUACGACCGCAAGGUUGAAACUCAAAGGAAUUGACGGGGACCCGCACAAGCGGUGGAGCAUGUGGUUUAAUUCGAAGCAACGCGAAGAACCUUACCAAAUCUUGACAUCCUUUGACAACUCUAGAGAUAGAGCCUUCCCCUUCGGGGGACAAAGUGACAGGUGGUGCAUGGUUGUCGUCAGCUCGUGUCGUGAGAUGUUGGGUUAAGUCCCGCAACGAGCGCAACCCUUAAGCUUAGUUGCCAUCAUUAAGUUGGGCACUCUAAGUUGACUGCCGGUGACAAACCGGAGGAAGGUGGGGAUGACGUCAAAUCAUCAUGCCCCUUAUGAUUUGGGCUACACACGUGCUACAAUGGACAAUACAAAGGGCAGCGAAACCGCGAGGUCAAGCAAAUCCCAUAAAGUUGUUCUCAGUUCGGAUUGUAGUCUGCAACUCGACUACAUGAAGCUGGAAUCGCUAGUAAUCGUAGAUCAGCAUGCUACGGUGAAUACGUUCCCGGGUCU
rnacentral:rRNA from 1 species